GCAUGUUUGUGGGUGGAAAGUUUUUCGGCUUGGGAUGGGCUCGCGGCCUAUCAGCUUGUUGGUGGGGUGAUGGCCUACCAAGGCGACGACGGGUAGCCGGCCUGAGAGGGCGACCGGCCACACUGGGACUGAGACACGGCCCAGACCCCUACGGGAGGCAGCAGUGGGGAAUAUUGCACAAUGGGCGGAAGCCUGAUGCAGCGACGCCGCGUGAGGGAUGACGGCCUUCGGGUUGUAAACCUCUUUCAGCAGGGGCGAAGCGCAAGUGACGGUACCUGCAGAAGAAGCGCCGGCCAACUACGUGCCAGCAGCCGCGGUAAGACGUAGGGCGCGAGCGUUGUCCGGAUUUAUUGGGCGUAAAGAGCUCGUAGGCGGCUUGUCGCGUCGACUGUGAAAACCCGUGGCUCAACUGCGGGCCUGCAGUCGAUACGGGCAGGCUAGAGUUCGGUAGGGGAGACUGGAAUUCCUGGUGUAGCGGUGAAAUGCGCAGAUAUCAGGAGGAACACCGGUGGCGAAGGCGGGUCUCUGGGCCGAUACUGACGCUGAGGAGCGAAAGCGUGGGGAGCGAACAGGAUUAGAUACCCUGGUAGUCCACGCUGUAAACGUUGGGCGCUAGGUGUGGGGGGCCUCUCCGGUUCCCUGUGCCGCAGCUAACGCAUUAAGCGCCCCGCCUGGGGAGUACGGCCGCAAGGCUAAACUCAAAGGAAUUGACGGGGGCCCGCACAAGCGGCGGAGCAUGCGGAUUAAUUCGAUGCAACGCGAAGAGCCUUACCUGGGUUUGACAUCGCCGGAAAUCCUGCAGAGAUGUGGGGUCCUUCGGGGCCGGUGACAGGUGGUGCAUGGCUGUCGUCAGCUCGUGUCGUGAGAUGUUGGGUUUAAGUCCCGCACGAGCGCAACCCUCGUCCCAUUUUGCUAGCAAUUC
rnacentral:rRNA from 1 species